rnacentral:sRNA from 1 species
ACCAGACUCAGUCAUGCACUGCAGAGCUGCCCUUUGUUUGCAAAAUGCCACAAGGAACCUGUCCACUUGGAUGGAUACAGGACGGCAUCGACUGCUACCAGCUUCAUAUACGACCAGAGGAGAAAAUGACAUGGUCAGCGGCAGUGGACCAUUGCAGCAGACAAGGCGCCACUAUGAUUCAGUAUGCUAUGACAACUCGAGCGAAGACGAUAUUAAACAAGGAACUUCAGGAUAAUGACAUUAAUUUAGUCUGGAUUGGAUUUAGUG